GAAAUGCGAUAAGUAAUGUGAAUUGCAGAAUUCAGUGAAUCAUCGAAUCUUUGAACGCAUCUUGCGCUCCUUGGUAUUCCGAGGAGCAUGCCUGUUUGAGUGUCAUUUUGAACUCUCAAAGCCCCACGUUUUGACGUGGCUUUGGACUUGAGGGCUUUUUGCAGGCUUUUGAUCAGAAAGCCUGCUCCCUUGAAAAUCAUCAGUGGUAUCUGGAGCGGAAACCGCUAGGUGUUGAUAACAUUCAUCUAUGCCUUUGGGUAUGCCGCGUAAAAUGUGCUGCUUCCAACGCCCCAUGCUCUUUGACAAACUUGACCUCAAAUCAGGUAGGACUACCCGCUGAACUUAA
rnacentral:misc_RNA from 1 species